GUCACAGUGCUGUCGAUAUCACCAAGGUGGCUAGAAGACAUCGCAUGUCUCCUUUUCCUCUGACAUCUAUGGACAAAGCCUUUAUCACAGUCCUGGAGAUGACUCCGGUGCUUGGGACAGAAAUCAUCAAUUACCGAGAUGGAAUGGGGCGAGUCCUUGCUCAAGAUGUAUAUGCAAAAGACAAUUUACCCCCCUUCCCAGCAUCAGUAAAAGAUGGCUAUGCUGUCCGAGCUGCUGAUGGCCCAGGAGAUCGUUUCAUCAUUGGGGAAUCCCAAGCUGGUGAACAGCCAACUCAGACAGUAAUGCCAGGACAAGUCAUGCGGGUUACAACAGGUGCUCCAAUACCCUGCGGUGCUGAUGCAGUAGUACAAGUGGAAGAUACCGAACUUAUCAGGGAAUCAGAUGAUGUACGUCAUCACCAAGUCUUACUGCGCU
rnacentral:sRNA from 2 species